GGCGGACUCGGGCAGCCCCAGGGCUCGGGCUCGGCCGGCGCUUGCUUGUCGGGGAGCAGGUGCGGGCUGGAGGCCGCCUCCCGCCUCGGCCACGGGAGGGACCCAGGUGCCCGGGGUUCGUCCGGCCGCAGCCGCACGUGACACCUGGGCCACUUAGGGCCGUUGAACCAGGUGGUUACCGGGCGGCCUCCCUGCAGAAAAUAAAACCCAUCGUGCGCCUUGGCCGGGCGACCGGGCCUAGCCGGUCGGGGUGGAUAAGACUGCGUUUCUUCUGUCUGAGCCCGUGUUGAUGCUGCUGGUGAAGUCAAGGGCUAGGAAACGAGAACGUGGCCGGCGUUUAAGUGAGGGGAGAUGAGCUGCGGAGAUGCGGUGCUUAUUCCAAUAGGUUUGGCAGUGGAUUCAACAAAGUUUAGAUAGUAGCUGAAUGGAAUCAAGAAACCUUGCCUGUAACUUAAAGUGGAGCAGGAGCUAGAACAGGAGACUGCCUACCAUCUGACAGAUGCUACACAUGGCAACUGGAAUAUUCCUAAAAAAUUGUGCAGGAGAGAGACUUCCCUGAAUUUAUCACCACCUACCUGAAACUAAACCACACUCUUCUGGCCUCUUCUUACAAUCACAGCUUUCAUUUCGUAGCUCUAACAGCAACACACCAUGGGGUACAAACAUCACUGGAAAACAAGGUCCUGAUAAAACCCACAGAAAAGCUGUUCACUAAUAUUGGGACUACUUUUAGCCAUGCUAUUAUAGAUCACGCUUUAUUUUUGUGCAUAAUAAAUACAGAAAAAUGUUGAAAAUGCAUGACUCAACUAUCUAAUUAAAGCUGAGUAAACUAA